rnacentral:lncRNA from 1 species
AUGACGGUAUGUAUACACCUUAUAUUUUUUUUGUACACGCAAAGUUUGUGUACAAUGUACAUGGAAAAGUUAUAUGCAUAUUGUCGUUUUCAUAACAAUGAAAUUAAACAAAAAAACACCUGUCGUGUGUGGUUGAUACUGGCAACUCUGUCUAAAUCAUUUUUUUUUCUAAUGCUAUGGUGUUCCUGUAUUUUGCACAAAAAGCAAC